CGAUUGUUCAUUGUGAUCUAAAGCCAAGUAAUAUUCUUCUUGAUGAAGACAUGGUUGCUCGUGUUGGAGAUUUUGGGCUAGCAAAGUUUCUCCAUCAACAACCUGAGGGUAGCUCACUGGGAGUGAGAGGAACAAUAGGCUAUACAGCUCCAGAAUAUGGUUUAGGAAGUGAGGUGUCAACUAGUGGAGAUGUCUAUAGUUUUGGGAUCCUAUUGCUGGAGAUGAUGACAAGAAAGAAGCCCACCAAUGACAAUUUUGGGGAA
rnacentral:misc_RNA from 1 species